UACGUAGGGGGCAAGCGUUGUCCGGAAUCAUUGGGCGUAAAGGGCGUGUAGGCGGCCAGAUAAGUCCGCUGUGAAAACUCGAGGCUCAACUUCGAGCUGUCGGUGGAAACUAUUUGGCUAGAGUCCGGAAGAGGAGAGUGGAAUUCCUGGUGUAGCGGUGAAAUGCGUAGAUAUCUGGAGGAACACCGGUGGCGAAGGCGGCAUCCUGGACCGACACUGACGCUGAGGAGCGAAAGCCAGGGGAGCAAAGCGGG
rnacentral:rRNA from 1 species